rnacentral:rRNA from 1 species
GCGGGCUUAGCCCCCGCGCCCUCCGGGGCGCCGGGAAACAGGCGCCCGCCGGAGACCCAAACUCAAUGUUUUUCAU